GCGUGUGUGAAGAAGGUCUUCGGAUUGUAAAGCACUUUCGACGGGGACGAUGAUGACGGUACCCGUAGAAGAAGCCCCGGCUAACUUCGUGCCAGCAGCCGCGGUAAUACGAAGGGGGCUAGCGUUGCUCGGAAUGACUGGGCGUAAAGGGCGCGUAGGCGGUUCAUACAGUCAGAUGUGAAAUUCCCGGGCUUAACCUGGGGGCUGCAUUUGAUACGUGUGGGCUUGAGUGAGGAAGAGGGUUGUGGAAUUCCCAGUGUAGAGGUGAAAUUCGU
rnacentral:rRNA from 1 species